rnacentral:snoRNA from 1 species
UGCCUUUGUGUUACCCAUUUGUUGCCUUCUACAAUAAAUGUGGUGUCAAUAAAGGCAUACAGCAAUUCUUGGAUCGGCCUUAGUGAGGUUCCUUUCCAGUGACCUUGUCCUAAGUUCUAUACCAAGCACAGUA